AUUGAACGCUGGCGGCAGGCCUAACACAUGCAAGUCGAGCGAGCGGCGGACGGGUGAGUAAUGUCUGGGAAACUGCCUGAUGGCGGGGGAUAACAACUGGAAACGGUAGCUAAUACCGCAUACCAUCGGAUGUGCCCAGAUGGGAUUAGCUAGUAGGUGGGGUAAAGGCCCACCUAGGCGACGAUCCCUAGCUGGUCUGAGAGGAUGACCAGCCACACUGGAACGGAGACACGGCCCAGACUCCUACGGGAGGCAGCAGUGGGGAAUAUUGGACAAUGGGCGAAAGCCUGAUGCAGCCAUGCCGCGUGUAUGAAGAAGGCCUUCGGGUUGUAAAGUACUUUCAGCGAGGAGGCGUUACUCGCAGAAGAAGCACCGGCUAACUCCGUGCCAGCCGCCGCGGUAAUUC
rnacentral:rRNA from 1 species